AUUGAACGCUGGCGGCAGGCUUAACACAUGCAAGUCGAGCGGGGGUAGGUAGCUUGCUACCGGACCUAGCGGCGGACGGGUGAGUAAUGCUUAGGAAUCUGCCUAUUAGUGGGGGACAACAUCUCGAAAGGGAUGCUAAUACCGCAUACGUCCUACGGGAGAAAGCAGGGGAUCUUCGGACCUUGCGCUAAUAGAUGAGCCUAAGUCGGAUUAGCUAGUUGGUGGGGUAAAGGCCUACCAAGGCGACGAUCUGUAGCGGGUCUGAGAGGAUGAUCCGCCACACUGGGACUGAGACACGGCCCAGACUCCUACGGGAGGCAGCAGUGGGGAAUAUUGGACAAUGGGGGGAACCCUGAUCCAGCCAUGCCGCGUGUGUGAAGAAGGCCUUAUGGCUGUAAAGCACUUUAAGCGAGGAGGAGGCUACUCUAGUUAAUACCUAGGGAUAGUGGACGUUACUCGCAGAAUAAGCACCGGCUAACUCUGUGCCAGCCGCCGCGGUAA
rnacentral:rRNA from 1 species